rnacentral:misc_RNA from 1 species
GAACCACUUUCACUAGAAGAAUCGGAAUCACUUCCACUGUCAUCCUUAUCGCUCUUUACCACAUUAUUCACAUGGCUACCUGUACCAGCAUCUGUGCUUGACCCAGUGGCCAAAUAAACAUUGCCAAUAUCCACCUCAUCACUUGCUACCGCACUAUUGGCAACACUCCCGUUAGGAACAACAGAAUUCGACCCCGCAACCAAACUUACAUUUCCCAUCUCUAUUUCAUCACCCGCGGUUUUCCCAUCACCACAAAUGGGACUUGACAAACCAACCAAACUAACCCUACCCAUCUCCUC